rnacentral:rRNA from 1 species
UACAGAGGUCCCAAGCGUUGUUCGGAUUCACUGGGCGUAAAGGGUGCGUAGGCGGUCGGGUAAGUCUGAUGUGAAAUCUCACAGCUUGAACUGUGAAACUGCAUUGGAUACUAUCCGGCUCGAGGAAUGGAGGGGAGACUGGAAUACUUGGUGUAGCAGUGAAAUGCGUAGAUAUCAAGUGGAACACCAGUGGCGAAGGCGAGUCUCGUGGACAUUUCCUGACGCUGAGGCACGAAAGCCAGGGGAGCAAACGGG